CACUUUAAUUCUAGCUGUAAACUAUAGUUGCAAACGACGACAACUACGCUCUAGCCGCUUAAUUGGCUAGCCUCCCCCUUAGUCAGUCUGCGGAUUAAGGCUGGAGGUAACAGUAGCAGAAUCGCCUCUAUUAUUUUUUCGAGAUAAUAGAUCGCUAAAACUCAUCGGAAUCGCCGAUAACUACCCUGACUGUUGGGUACUAUAGGUUAAAUUAAAGACAGAACUAAGCAUGUAGCGCCUUCAAGCAGCGGAUUUUCGGACGCGGGUUCGAUUCCCGCCGUCUCCACCA
rnacentral:tmRNA from 1 species